CAGAAGUAGGAAGCUGCUGGGUCCCCGUUGUUCUGGUUCUUGGGUGCUUGUUGGCAUCGUCAAGGACCUUCUGUUGCUAGUGAGCUUCAGGGGUUAGCUUCUUAUCUAGGUGGAAAGAGACCAAGGCAUGAUUUAUAUACAGCAGCGUGAAGAUACGAACUGCUAUGUUUCCUGACAUGUGGGAUUAAGCCCAUUAUUUUUCUUCCAGUCAUUUCAAAUUGAGCAUGCGUUCGUAGAAUGUGUGUAAAUUGAAUUCAGCAGGUUCUAUGUAGACGCGUAACCGUGUGCGAAUUUAGACUGUGCUUUCAUGCUAUGGAUGCUUGCCAAUACAUGACAAGCUUUUAGGGCCGCACAAAAGUUUCUUUGUCUCUAAUAUUGUGACCGUUUCUGCCCUUGAAGAAGAUUGCACUGGCUUCUGAAGUUCUUGAUGAAAUUUAACUAAAGCAGUCCUUCUAAACACAUCUUUACAUGCAGGGCACGUUCUGUGCGCUCCUCUAAUUAUUGCCCUGUGAAGCACUGGAGAACAGAAUGCAAAAGGAACGAAGGGAGUCUGUUCCAAUCAGUCACUAUGGCACACACAUCUCAGCUGAAGGGGUUUCUGGUGGAGUGGACCAGGGCUCUCCUUUAAGGCGAACCGGGUGACUUAAAGAUCUGGUCAUAUAUCACAUAUGCUGGUGACCCUGGAGAAGAAGACAGCUGCUUCUCAGAACGGUGAAAUAGAUCCUGCAAGUAUCACAUGCUUUUGACUUCCGUUAACUGUGCAAAUAUCAUCUUAUCCAGUGGGUGGAUGUGAGAAAAGGUAGGCUCACACAAAGAAGAGGCAGAAGAGGAAGGAGGAGGAGGAGGAGGAGGAGGAAGAGGAGAAGAAGAAGAAGAAGAAGAAGAAGAAGAAGAAGAAGAAGAAGAAGUCUAAUUCAUAGUGAUAUAAUACUAAGAGCUGUCUAUCAUUAAUAUAAAGGGAAAAUGAUUUUUGAUAUUAUUAUCUCUUAUAAGUAUAAUCAUUAUUCUCUAAUCUAUUUCUCUUGAAUAUUUGCAUUCACCCAACAAAUACCAAGAGCUUUUGCUCAUUAUUGACUUUUAUAGUCACAAUAAGAUUUGGGCAUUUAGAAUUAAAAAAUGAGGUAUUAGGAAUUACAGUUCUGGAACUGGGAUUUCUGCGCUGAAAUUUAUGGAGCGAUUAUGCUCUAUGAAACUGUCCUGCAGGUUCUUUGGUUAUACGUGGUUCCUUAGAAGAUCUGAUGGCAUGUAAAGACACACUAAGUUAUACUUGGAAAGAGAGAGUCCUCAUUCUGGGUCUUAUAGAGAAACUGAGACAAUGAAAGAAAGUUUAGUAUGGUCAUGAAGCACACAUCCUCUGACAAGGGAGUUCCUGAAUCCGGCCUGUCAGGGAGUGGCUGUGAUGAAACUCAACAGAGUAGGGUAGGAGAGGAGUGUGGCUCUGUACGCAAGACUUCCAGGAUCACUAGGCAAUGGGAGGCAGGGGCCUGCAGAGUGUCUGUAAGCCCCUAGAUGUUUUCUCUGUUUUUCAGAGCACAGAGUUUCCCGGAAGAUUAAAAGCUUCUCAGGCAAUCGUCAGUGCUUGGGCCGGCGCAGGCUCUCCUGGUAUCUGAUUCUAAGUUUCAUCCAGUUCUUAGUUUCUCUAAGACAUUAUGCUUUUAAAGCCACCAUCAUUUCUGUAAUAACUAAAAUCUCAGCUGCUGCUCACCCUGUGUAGCUUCCUAUUUCUUGUUGACUAUAAAAUGUCAAACUGAGGGCCUAGAAACACUGCUCUCUUACGCUGGGUCCCAAUGACACCCCUCCACACACACCACACCCACACACACCACACAGAGACUUCAAAUAGAUCAGUUUACCCAUUAAUCAUGAAUAUUGCUCACAAUUGGAUGAAUAAAUGCGAACUUAACACUUUGCACUUCAAUUUUCGUAAAACGUAUUCUGUUAAUAGAGUUAACCCAGAUAUUUAAGCAUUUAUGACUGUUUCCAUGGAAAUGCCUCCUAUAAAUAAAGGAAUAUGAGAGAAUAAGAUGUUUAAGGUGUUGGGGGACAAUGCAAUGUUGAAAUUUGUUGAGUUAUGUAAUUCGUAAACACAAGCUCAAUGCUGGACUCAUCUCUCAUUUUCCAUCAUGACCUUUCAGAACAUUUCACAAGUCUUUUAGUCCCAUCACCUGAAUAGUACAUAUUUGAAAAAAUGAGAUAUAUAUUUAUAUAACCUAAUGAAUUAAUUUUAAAUAA